AUUGGGUAGCUCAGUGGUUAAGACGUUGGACUUCUGAUCAGAAGCUCGUUAGUUCAAAUAUCACCACCAACA